rnacentral:rRNA from 1 species
AGCGUAGGCGGACUUUUAAGUGAGAUGUGAAAUACCCGGGCUCAACUUGGGUGCUGCAUUUCAAACUGGAAGUCUAGAGUGCAGGAGAGGAGAAUGGAAUUCCUAGUGUAGCGGUGAAAUGCGUAGAGAUUAGGAAGAACACCAGUGGCGAAGGCGAUUCUCUGGACUGUAACUGAUGCUGAGGCUCGAAAGCGUGGGGAGCAAACA